UACGGGGGGAGCAAGCGUUGUUCGGAUUUACUGGGCGUAAAGGGCGCGUAGGCGGUCAGCACAAGUCAGUUGUGAAAUCUCCGGGCUUAACUCGGAAAGGUCAACUGAUACUGUGCGACUAGAGUGCAGAAGGGGCAACUGGAAUUCUCGGUGUAGCGGUGAAAUGCGCAGAUAUCAGGAGGAACACCGGUGGCGAAGGCGGAUCUCUGGGCCGUAACUGACGCUGAGGAGCGAAAGCAUGGGGAGCGAACAGG
rnacentral:rRNA from 1 species